CACACAUCUCUACUGUUUUUGCUGUUUACACCAAAUAGAAGAAAUCUUCAUUUAGACAGAACUUCCACAGUGACGUGUUCCUCUGCAGUGACUCUGACUCAUCACAUAUAAGGAGUUUUGGAGAUAACAGUUUAAAACCUGAGCAGCUGU